rnacentral:rRNA from 1 species
UACGGAGGGUGCAAGCGUUAUCCGGAUUCACUGGGUUUAAAGGGUGCGUAGGCGGGUAAGUAAGUCCGUGGUGAAAUCUCUGAGCUUAACUCAGAAACUGCCGUGGAUACUAUUUGCCUUGAAUAUUGUGGAGGUGAGCGGAAUAUGUCAUGUAGCGGUGAAAUGCUUAGAUAUGACAUAGAACACCAAUUGCGAAGGCGGCUCGCUGGGCCACACCUGACGCUGAGACGCGAAAGCUAGGGGAGCGAACAGG